rnacentral:piRNA from 1 species
UCUGAGAAAUUCCUGGAUGGAU